AUGAAUAUUUUCUUGGCUUGUAUGCCUGGUGAACAACCAAUCGUGUUGCUGCCAGACCAUUGGUUUGUGCCGGGCAUGGAGCAUUUACAAGUGUUGCAGGGUGCCAGCGGUUUUCCUUGGUACUACUAUCUGGGAACUCUUCAUUACUUGUGCCGUCAUCUUGCAACUAAAGAUACAACAGGGUUCCUUGCAUCUUGCUCGAAUUGGAUGUCGGAGGUCAAGAACUUGGUUAGUUAUGGGGUACAAUUGUACACUGUCAAUGAUUUUUCUGAGCGGCAUCUACGUGGACCUACAACAUGUUACCCUGUUCUGAUUAACUUUUGGGCCAUGGGGACUGGGUACUUUCAAAUUCUACAGCAACUUGGUAAUAUUGAACCGAGGGAGAAUCAAAUAAGCAAAAAUAUAGAUGAGCAGUGGCCUGGUCAGCUAGUGUUCUUAUGCUUGAUCAGUGAUGGUGUGGCUUAUUGUCUUAUGACUGAUUCGCACUCAGUUGGAUUGGUGCUUUCGUCUGUGAUUUUUGAAGUUGUGGUACCACCUGUCGAGUAUGCUCCGAGGCUGCUAUGUACGCAACCUAUUACUCACAACUUGGCUACUGAUAGCAAAGAAUGUUUGGAUGCAUUAUUGCCUAUUAUACAAUAUAUUGACGAAUUGGCUGAUACGUUGUUCGAUGAGAUUGAGCCGCAGCUUGAUAUGCAUUGGAAGAAAUUUGUUGUUCAUGACAAGCCUACUAUGGCUCCCUACCAGCCUAGUACAGAGAGACCUGAAGGUGACUGUUUUUUGGGAGCGUGUGCCAUGGAUGACGUGAAUUUCUCUAUUCGUUCCAAGCAAGCUUGUUUUCAAGGAGGGAGGUGUAUCACCGUCCUCGCCACCUUCGUCGACCACAACUACUACCUCGACGCCGUCCUCAACUUGGUUCCUAUCGACAAUGAUGACUACUCUGACCUUGUUCGAGUUAACUCUGGCCACGGCUGCGGUCAUGAAGGCUAUUUCCGCCAUCUAGGCAAGCAAGCUUACUACUCCGGUCAAGCCUACACCGACCUCGGCUUCUAUUCUGAAGACUACCAUGGCAACCCUAGCAAGUUCAAGGGACUUCAAGCGCCGUGGGAUCCCGGCAAGUCAGCAUUUCAGUCUUCUCGAGCUUCGGCUUGGGGUCAAGCCGAGUUUCAAGGAGGGAGGGUGUUAGCAACCCUCCACGGGUGGGCCUUGGGCCGGCAUGAGAGGGCCGGGCCUUGCAUCCAGGCCAUGGAAGACAGUGACUACAAGUACGUGAAGGAGGGAUCGAGCAGGCAUCCAGGAGGGAUCACGAACGAACCGGCGGCGGCACUUCCUCUCCCACCUCUGGCUCUCAACCUUUCCCCUGUUCUUGCUUCUUCCAUUUCAGCACACUUGUGCUUGUACCAGAAGUGUAAUCCGAACCUAUUAGCUACUCAAUCUCACCAUAUCAAACAAUACAGAGAGAUAUCCGUGAGUAGCUAA
rnacentral:rRNA from 1 species